rnacentral:rRNA from 1 species
AUUGAACGCUGGCGGCAGGCUUAACACAUGCAAGUCGAGCGGGGGAAGGUAGCUUGCUACCGGACCUAGCGGCGGACGGGUGAGUAAUGCUUAGGAAUCUGCCUAUUAGUGGGGGACAACAUCUCGAAAGGGAUGCUAAUACCGCAUACGUCCUACGGGAGAAAGCAGGGGAUCUUCGGACCUUGCGCUAAUAGAUGAGCCUAAGUCAGAUUAGCUAGUUGGUGGGGUAAAGGCCUACCAAGGCGACGAUCUGUAGCGGGUCUGAGAGGAUGGUCCGCCACACUGGGACUGAGACACGGCCCAGACUCCUACGGGAGGCAGCAGUGGGGAAUAUUGGACAAUGGGGGGAACUCUGAUCCAGCCAUGCCGCGUGUGUGAAGAAGGCCUUAUGGUUGUAAAGCACUUUAAGCGAGGAGGAGGCUACUUUAGUUAAUACCUAGAGAUAGUGGACGUUACUCGCAGAAUAAGCACCGGCUAACUCUGUGCCAGCCGCCGCCGUAA